AAAAAACAAAAUCGGGGUAACAAACUAAAACUGAGGGAAACGCAUUAAAUAUUAGAGGAGAACAACGACACAACAUUAAAAUGUUACACACACAGCAACGGACUAAGCAUUAGACAACAUCCGAUGAGAAUAACCAAUAUAACAUCAAAACCAAAUACAUGAAUUUGGGAUAGAAAAGUACCGUGACACGUCUUAUAGUAAUGUGAAUUCACACUCAAAAAUAGGAGAAAACAAACGACACAACGUAAACAACGUAAAAAUCUUACAC
rnacentral:lncRNA from 1 species